rnacentral:tRNA from 1 species
CAAAUUGAAGCUUUUAGGAAGCUUUUUAUUUACAUUAAGAUUAUUAUUGUGUAAUUCAGUACAAUUUGU